rnacentral:pre_miRNA from 1 species
AUUCUACUCCCUCCGUUGCACAAUACUACAUGCCUUCUAUUUGUCAAAAUAUAUAUGUAUCUAGACAUGUCUUAGUAUAUAGGUACAUCCAUUUUUGGACAAAUGGAAGUCAAGUAUUUUGGAAUAGAGGGAGUACACA